ACGUCAUUGGACUGCUGCAACUGCCAUGGAUCGAGCAUUAGGCCAAUGAGAAGAAGAUUCACCAGUGGCUGCUGUAACUGUCGGACAGGCCUUCGUUGGAUGCUGGAUAUACUGCGGUGCGGAUUUGGCGAGCCAGUCAAAAGGCGAUUCCAGGGACGGAAAUGUGCACCGGCAAUGGACGAGGCCCGUGCAGAAGGGAGCAUUGCAGCCGGCUCGCUGCGCCCAGCCAGAGGAUUCGCAACAGGAUAGCUGGCCACCGGAUGGACUACUCGCCUCCGCUUUCGUCGUGGAUUCACCAGGAGGCCGUCAGUAGCUGUGCCGUUUGCCUGUAGAUAGAAGUUUUGGAGUAGAGAUAGGCUGCUGCAGGCUGCGAAGCGGAUUCGGAGAAGUUGCCAGAGAGUCAUUCCGGAUACGCAGGUCAAUCCCGGCAGUAGGCGAGGCCCUUAUAGAAGAUGGCGUGGGAGGCCGCUCGCUGCAGGCAGCCAUAGGAAUUACAGCAGGACGGCAGGCCAACGGAUGGACUGCUGGGCGCCAGAUUUGCCUUGGAUGCACCAAGAGGCCGUCAGUAGCUGUGAUAUUUGCCUGUAAAUAAAGGUUUUGGAGCAGCCAUAGCUUUUGGUUGUGCAGCUUCUACACACACAGAUGAGGCUUCCUGGUGCGGAUUUGUGCGGGCUCGGCUUUCUUCGGCGGCAAAUGCUGCGUCCAUCUCGUCGUCGAGUUCCUUCUCAAGCUGCUGCUGCAGGGACUUCAUCUGCUCUUCGAGAAGCUGCUCUGGAGUAGGCGGAGGGAGUUCGUGCGGUUCAAGCGGAGUCAUUAUGAGCCUUUGUAUGUAUUCAGGUUCAAAACGAAUCUUCUGUGCCAUUUCUAAUCGAUUCAUUUCUCCUCUUCUGAGACAUUGCGCCAUACAAUUAACCCAGAUUAUUGAGGGUCUCUCCUGCGGGAUACCAAGGGCUAUGCAACGCUCUUGUUCAAGGCGUUUCCGUUCGACAAGUGCUUCCUUGGCUUUUUGUGGUUGUGUGUCGACGGCGCGAGCACAAUAAGACUGAUUGGCCACAGUGACCCUCAGCUAAUUUUAUUUGUUUUCGCAAUCUACAUUUGAACGCAUUUACAAAUAUUUUUAACGGCUGUUAUUUAACAGCUGAACCACUAAUUACACAUGGUUGGGACAUUUAACUUUACAUUACAAGAAAUCAAGACACUCUGGCAACAACGUGCAUUUGUUUACAUUUAGAAAUUGCAUUCGGACGUAUAUGUAUAUAGGUAUGGACCUCUAUCAUCAGCUCACUGGAUGGAAUUGGGUCUGUACAAGUUGGCUUGAGCAGGUGUCAAAACAAUGGACCCGGUGAUUUCAUCAGGCUGCUGCAACCUCAGGGGAAGUAUAAAGCCGCACCGUAAGUGAGUAAGUAUUUGAUUUUUAUAGAUUGCUUCGCUUAUAUGCUUCCAGAGGGCGUGUCUUUCGGUGUGCGCCUUUCCACCAUUGGCGCACUGGACGGCGGUGAAAUUUCAGGUGA